rnacentral:rRNA from 1 species
UACAGAGGUCUCAAGCGUUAUCCGGAUUCAUUGGGUUUAAAGGGAGCGUAGGUGGUCUUAUAAGUCAGUGGUGAAAUCUCUGGGCUUAACCCAGAAAUUGCCAUUGAUACUGUAGGACUUGAGUAUAGUUGCCGUUGGCGGAAUAUGACAUGUAGUGGUGAAAUACAUAGAGAUGUCAUAGAACACCGAUUGCGAAGGCAGCUAACGAAACUAUAACUGACACUGAGGCUCGAAAGUGUGGGGAUCAAACAGG